rnacentral:rRNA from 1 species
GAUGAACGCUGGCGGCGUGCCUAAUACAUGCAAGUCGAGCGAACGGACGAGAAGCUUGCUUCUCUGUUGUUAGCGGCGGACGGGUGAGUAACACGUGGAUAACCUACCUAUAAGACUGGGAUAACUUCGGGAAACCGGAGCUAAUACCGGAUAAUAUUUUGAACCGCAUGGUUCAAAAGUGAAAGACGGUCUUGCUGUCACUUAUAGAUGGAUCCGCGCUGCAUUAGCUAGUUGGUAAGGUAACGGCUUACCAAGGCAACGAGGCAUAGCCGACCUGAGAGGGUGAUCGGCCACACUGGAACUGAGACACGGUCCAGACUCCUACGGGAGGCAGCAGUAGGGAAUCUGCCGCAAUGGGCGAAAGCCUGACGGAGCAACGCAGCGUGAGUGAUGAAGGUCUUCGGAUCGUAAAACUCUGUUAUUAGGGAAGAACAUAUGUGUAAGUAACUGUGCACAUCUUGACGGUACCUAAUCAGAAAGCCACGGCUAACUACGUG